GAAGAAUCCAAGUUCAUCAGAUACUUGGAAUGGCUUCAGCCAAUUCAUUUUCAGAUACCUCUCCAGGGCCUUUCCCUUUCCCCCCGUCCUAGCUCUGACUGCUCCGGGCUCCUCCUCUCCAGCCCUGCUGUCCUUGCUCCUCCUGUUUCAUUUGUUCCUAUCUCUUCAUCUCUGCAUCAGUCUGUACCCUGAAUGUGUGUCCCAUCCCUCCCAGACAGGGAACUCUUCUCUAAAUCUUUUCCCAGCCCCCAGCACAGGGGUGUAAGAACUAGGAGCUGACACGAGAUAAAGCAGACGGUAAAGCAGAAGUGUCUGAUAGCUUGUCAGGGCAACCCUGGCCUUCAGCAGUCUCAGCUUCUGGAGGAGUUGUGUGAUCUCAGCUAAGACUGACUCCACUGCCUAGAACCAUCCCAGCCCUGUCAUGCUCACUUCUUCUUGUAGCCCUCCAGCGCCUCCUGCGUGCAGUUGAGCUCUGAGGCCAGCCUGCCACUGUCGGCCUCCACGCACUCAGCCUCCCGCCGCAGAGUCGCCAUGUAGCCCUGCAACAGGGGCUCCAGGUUGCUCUCGCAGCACUCGCGGUUCUGGUAGAACUGCAGCUUGGUCUCCAGCAGUUUGUUCUGCUGCUCCAGGAAGCGCACCUGCCAUUCAGGAAGGAGGAAAGAGACUGAGGGGAAAGCCUGAGAGCAGGUUUUGCCUGGUCCCCCAGAGCUCUUUCUGCCAUUGAGGAUGGCCCCCGCCCUGCAGCAGCCUGUGACCUUCCCCAGGAGGCCAAAUUAUUGGCAAAGUCUGAAAGUGCAGGUCACAAGUAGUCCCCAAGUAACUUCUCUCCACCCACCCCCCUUCCCAGAAAGAGCACACUAUUUAUAAACGUUCGUUUAUUCUACACAGAAUGAAAUUAACAUCCUGCAGAAAUAUUUCAUACUAUGCAUACUAGGCAAAUAAUGAUCCCCCCAAAGGUGCCUGCACUAGAGGGAUUUGAAACAUGAGAAGGACUCAACCCGCUAUUAUGGCUUUGAAGAUGGAGGAAGAGGGGGCCACAAGCCAAGGAAUGUGGAUAGCCUCUGGAAGCUGAGAACAACCUCUGGCAGCCAGCCAGCAAGAGAACAGGGACCUCAGUCCUGCAACCACAAGGACCUCAAUUCUGCCAAAAGCCUAAAUGUCCCUGGAAACAGAUGCUCCCCUGGGGCCUCCAAAAAGAAAUGCAGCCCUGCCGACACCUUAACAUCAGCCUUUUAGAUCAGUAGAAGGUCCCUGUCUGUGAAUUAGAACCC
rnacentral:lncRNA from 10 species